CUGAGGCAGACAGUGAGCUUCUGCUCCUCCUGCCUCUACCUCCUGAGUACUGAACUAUAGAUUUAUGCUACCACAUUCAGCUUAGCUUUAUUGACUUAUAGUAUAUACAAAUAGAACUGUUGGUUAUUAACCUUGUUAUCGUACUAUUUCUGGUAAGUUGCAAGGCCUUAGAUUCAAAAUGUAGUCAGUAACAAAGGGAAAAACAAAAACACUUCUUUAUAGCCAGGUAUGGUGGUAUACAUCUAACUCUGCACUCACCUGGGAGGUAGAGGCUGGGGGAUCAGGAGUUCAAGGUCAUCUUCAGAUACAAAAUGAGUUUGGGACCAGUUUGCCCUACAUGAGGCCCUGUCUCAACAGUUGUGGAAGACAAGUGGAUGGAGGAGGUGUGUUUACUGAUCUCUGAUGUCCAUCCAAAUCCUGAGCAACUUACGCUUAAAACAAUGAACCUAUCACAGUGAAAAUUUUUAUUUAUGAACAUUGUAAGCAUUACACACAUCUCAGAAUCUCUGUAAGGCAGAGCAAAGAUCAGAAGGUCACCCCUUGCAGCUUUCCUCUCUUUACUACUUGUAAGAAAAAAGUCUGCCAAUGACAGUAAUUCUUACAGCAGCAAUUCUCAGCUUUGGUUUUGGUGGUACAGUUCAGGGACAGGAGUGUGAUAGACAAGUGUUGUACAACUAAAGCACACCCUUUGCCCUGUGGCUUUUAUUUAACAAGUAGAGAGAGUAGAGGUUUUCUCGUUUAGGAUUAUAAUGAAUGACAGAUGGCAAAUACAUGAAAAGUCAGAACAAGGCUCUUAUAAGCUAAAACUUUUUACCUUGAUAAAAUAAGAUUUCAAUAAGACUAAUAGAUUUUCCAGGCUACUGAACAAAAAUGUGGUCUUCCAGCCUCCCUUUUCCUAUGAGCGAUAUCUUAUUUUCUCAUGCUAAGAUUCUGCUACAGCUUGUGCAGAAAAGGGUGCAGGUCAUCUCCCUCGGAACUAUCAGGACCUUGACAUGAAAAACCUCUGUUAAGAAUCAUGAGGACAAGUCUUUUAAAAAUUGGAGAUGUAUAGGGCAUUAGAUGAAAACUACUUUAGUUAUGAACUUUAAGGUGAUAAUAUAUUCUCAGAUAUAGCACAGAAGAGACACUACACAAAUUAUGACCAAAAGUUAUGAUAGAAAAGAGCUUUUGACUGAAGUAGAGAAAGAGUAAAAAACAUACAAAAGGAAAACAAGUUAGAGUAAAGGAACAGACAGGGUCACUGGGCUUUAGUCACACCCAGGUUUCUUCGAGCUUCCAAAAGCUUUUCUUUCUUCUCCUUUCGUUCUUGCUCUUGUCUCUUCCAUCGUUCUUCCCUAGGAGGGACAAACAUGUUCCAUGUUAGGCUCAACCUAGACUCUCUGACAGACACUGUAAACAAUGUACUGCUGGCCUAACAUCUAGUUAAAUGGCAUCUACUGGGUACUGGGUACUGGGUACUGGACUGUCUUCCUUCCUUCCUUCCUUCCUUCCUUCCUUCCUUCCUUCCUUUCUUUCUUUCUGUUUUGUUUUUUGUUUUGAGACAGGGUUUCUCUGUAUAUCCCUGGCUGUCCUGGAACUCACUCUGUAGACCAGGCUGGAUUUGAGAACUCAGAAAUCUGCCUGCCUCUGCCUCCCAAGUGCUGGGAUUAAAGGGGUGCGCCACCACUGCCCGGUGGCACUAGACUCUUAAGGGUUUCAAUUUGUCAGCAUUGUCUGCAAAGGCUAUAGUCAGUUAACUCAGCAUUCUAAAGUCACACAUGGAACAAGAUCCAGGGGAUACCUGGGCAACUGAAUUCAGCAUUGGUACUUUAAAUUAAAAAAAUUGUUUUGAAGAGAAAUCUCACUCUUAGAAGUCAGUCAUAUAGCCAGGCCACAGUACUAGACUAGGGUCCAGUGACUACAGUCAAGAAAAAAAAAGUCCAGGUUUAUGUUAUCCCAUAGGUAGAGAAAGGUCUUGGUGGAAAUGGAUAUAGGCAAGAGGUAGAUGAUAGAAUACCUGUAUCAGGGGAGUCUCAAGCCAUAAACCUAGACUCCUUUAAGGUCUGUGCUUGGCUUGGGUCUGUGUGGGGCUUCACUCCUUACAAUGCCUAGUUUGCUUUAGAGUGAAGAAUUUAUACUUGGCCAUCCAUCAGCAUUGUUUGUCGACAGGGAUAUUUACAAGUCCUGUUGGAAAGGCAGGUCCCAAAAGAAUACAUUCUCAAUUAACUACGGAGGCCUGGGUAAGCAGUAUUUGGGGUGCAGUGUAAACCCACUUUGGAAUCUAUUUUUCUAGAAAUGAAAAUACUUAACAAAAUUUAUGUUUUUAGAUAGACUAUCAUAGCUGGGUGGUGGUGCAUGCCUUAAAUCCCAGCACUCAGGAGGUAGAGGCAAGAGGAUCUCUGAAUCCUGCCAGCCUGCUCUAUGGAGUUCCAGACAGUCAGGGAUACAAACCCUGUCUCAACAAAACAAAACAAAACAAAACAACAAAAAGCUAUCCUGUAUCCCAGGCUCCCAGCUCACUUUGAAAGAAAGGUCUAAAAGUGACUGGCUGGAAAGAAGACUGAUCGACUAUGGCUGGAAUGAGGUUUGCCCAAGCCUCGUCCCAACUCUACUAACAGUAUUGAGAGGUGAUAGAAUCUUUAGGAGGUGGGGCCAGAGGGAAAUAAAAUCAGGUUACUGGAACCACUCUUAGAGGGAUUAAUGCCCAGCCCCAGGCAUGAAUUAGCUAUUCUGAGAGGAGGCUGUUGGGAAGACAGCUCAACACUGUCUAACAUUGCCUAGCCUUCACGCCGUCCCCCUCACUCUUGAGUGCACACGUGUUAUGCUCCAUCUUGUGACACAGCAGAAGGCUCUACCUGGGGCUUCUAGAAUUGUAAGUCAAAGUAAACUCUAUUCUCUGUAGAAUGUCUACUCUCAAGCAUUUGGUUAUCACAAAAUGAGCUGGAGCUUUUUGCUUCUAACCGAGCUUUCAUAUUCCACCCCUCGCAUGCUCUGGUUCUCUAUUGAAGUUGGAAACCCUGUACUGUGAGGUAGUUAUGCGCACCUGGUUUGGAGAUGAGGUUGUUUGUAAGUUUUCCUGUGGAAGGUAACUCUGCUUACACGUUCGUUCAGAGAAUUGUUCUCUUUAGCUUGUCCCCAAGGUUUCAGCUUUCCUGGGUUAGAAAAAGCAGUGUUAACAACCUAUCAUUCACAGCUCCCUUUUCUCCAUCUUUCAGCCUGCCUGCCUGUCAGCAUUUUUACUGUUUUGUAAAUAUUACAUGUAGAUAUUUACAUGUAUAUCCUGCAGUGAGUCUUGAUUUCACAUUUCAGAUGUAAACCAUAUUUUCCUCUAAAAAUGUGUUUUAAUAAAAAAAAAAAAGCCAACCCCGUGUUAGUUAUUCCUGUGUUUCUGUGAGUGUGAGUCCAGCGGGUCUG
rnacentral:lncRNA from 1 species